AUGAAGAAGGUGAGAACUUGGGCGCUGGAGCUCGAGACCCCCUCAGGUGUCUAUAUAAACCGGAGGGUUUAG
rnacentral:rRNA from 1 species